GUGAGGCAGCAAGAGAUUGGGGGU
rnacentral:miRNA from 1 species